GACGAACGCUGGCGGCGUGCUUAACACAUGCAAGUCGAACGGAAAGGCCCUGCUUUUGUGGGGUGCUCGAGUGGCGAACGGGUGAGUAACACGUGAGUAACCUGCCCUUGACUUUGGGAUAACUUCAGGAAACUGGGGCUAAUACCGGAUAGGAGCUCCUGCUGCAUGGUGGGGGUUGGAAAGUUUCGGCGGUUGGGGAUGGACUCGCGGCUUAUCAGCUUGUUGGUGGGGUAGUGGCUUACCAAGGCUUAGACGGGUAGCCGGCCUGAGAGGGUGACCGGCCACAUUGGGACUGAGAUACGGCCCAGACUCCUACGGGAGGCAGCAGUGGGGAAUAUUACACAAUGGGCGGAAGCCUGAUGCAGCAACGCCGCGUGCGGGAUGACGGCCUUCGGGUUGUAAACCGCUUUCGCCUGUGACGAAGCGUGAGUGACGGCAAUGGGUAAAGAAGCACCGGCUAACUACGUG
rnacentral:rRNA from 1 species